rnacentral:rRNA from 1 species
ACGGGUGAGUAACGCGUGGGAAUCUACCCAUCUCUACGGAAUAACGCAUGGAAACGUGUGCUAAUACCGUAUACGUCCUUCGGGAGAAAGAUUUAUCGGAGAUGGAUGAGCCCGCGUUGGAUUAGCUAGUUGGUGGGGUAAAGGCCUACCAAGGCGACGAUCCAUAGCUGGUCUGAGAGGAUGAUCAGCCACACUGGGACUGAGACACGGCCCAGACUCCUACGGGAGGCAGCAGUGGGGAAUAUUGGACAAUGGGCGCAAGCCUGAUCCAGCCAUGCCGCGUGAGUGAUGAAGGCCCUAGGGUUGUAAAGCUCUUUCACCGGUGAAGAUAAUGACGGUAACCGGAGAAGAAGCCCCGGCUAACUUCGUGCCAGCAGCCGCGGUAAUACGAAGGGGGCUAGCGUUGUUCGGAUUUACUGGGCGUAAAGCGCACGUAGGCGGACUAUUCAGUCAGGGGUGAAAUCCCGGGGCUCAACCCCGGAACUGCCUUUGAUACUGGUAGUCUUGAGUUCGAGAGAGGUGAGUGGAAUUCCGAGUGUAGAGGUGAAAUUCGUAGA